UAAUAAGUGUUUUAUGGCACUUUUUAAAUCCAUAUCCACUUUGUGUGCAAUGUCAGUCGAUCUUCUUCAUGGAGAUCGACCAAACAUCAACCUUUAUCUUUUAACUCUUUGUCUGAAAAAUAUUAUGAAUAAACAAUUCAAAAUA
rnacentral:misc_RNA from 1 species